CGGGCUGCUCGCAACUAGGCUGAAACCACCUGCAUCCGGGCCUUCUGCCAGAUCAUCCGGACAAAGGUCCGGAUCAUCCGGAUGGUGUCCCAGAUCAUCCGGGGUGGUCAACUUAUGUCCAAACGGCUCUAUUCUGGACACUGGUAUAUAUAGCACCUUACCCCUUCGGGAUAAGGUUGAACACUACACACAAACACGCCUCAAGAACACCAGUGCUUUCCCUCUCUUGCUCACACACUAAAUCCCAGAUCCCGGUUUGAUUCUUGAGAGUUUUGAAGAGUUGUUCCAAUCAAAAGAAAGAUCUCCUUCCUCCCCUUCUUGUGACCAAAGCAAAUCGAAGUUUGAGCAAGUCUUGAUACUUUCCCCUCGGAUCUUGUUACUCUUGGAGGUUGCAGACUCCUAGGCGGUAGGAGUCAUUCGGUGAGGAAUCAAUGAUUGUGAUUACCCCCGGAAAGUUUGUGAGGGUUUGGAGACCACCCCAAGGUCUACCACUAGUGGUUGAGAAACGCCUUUGUGGUGUUGUCUCAAAGGGAGAAUAGGGUGAGCCUUCGUGGCGUAGGUGUGCCUUCGUGGUAACAUCCGCCCCUCUAACGGUGACUAGCUUCCCUCCAAGGAAGUGAACAUCAGCACACAUCCUCGUCUCCCGGAGUUGCGGUUAUUCCUAACCCUAACUCUAUACUUGUGGUUACUUGUUGUGAUUGCUCUUACUUACAUCGUAUUGUGCUUGCUCUCUUAUAUGCUUGUGUCAACUGCCUAGUACUUUGUACUUACUAGCAAUUGUUAGGCUCACUUUCAUAUUCCGCUCUAUUGCCUAAAAUUGCUUAGUAAUAAUUAAAAUUUGUAAUUGUACCUGUUCACCCCCCCCCCUCUAGGUCCAUCUCGAUCCUUUCAUUUGGUAUCAGAGCCUCAUGCUCUAUUCUUGUGGCUUAACCUCCCUAGAGCGAGAUGAACCCGGAUGGGACUCCCCUUGUUGUAGAUCCUAAGGAUAAAGGUGUGGCUUCCUCUGAAGUCAAAACCUUUACGUCGGAGGAUCUAGAACGGGCCCUUGCUAAACAAAAAGAGGAGAAUGAUGCUUCUCUUGAGGCCUUGGUCCAAAUGUGAUUAGCCACGUUGUCCAUAGUGCUUGCACCAUUCUCGGGUGGUGCUGCUUUGAGGCCAACUGUGCCUACUCCAUCACUUGGUCAACAACCUCCUAGCAAUGAACACGCCAGUGUUCCUUGGCUUUAUGCAAGACCUCAGGUUGAGAAACCAAGAUAUAACCCUCAAGGCAAACCUCCUUUACUAAGUGCCACUUCCGAUUUUGCCUUGUGGAGAGUUGCUAUGCAGGAUCAUCUUCGACAUGGAAAUGACGAGAUGCUGGAAAUCUUGGAGUAUGGCUAUCAUGUGGUUGAUCCAAAGAACCCCACACCAAGAGAAAUAUAUGACAAGAACCUCAAUGACACUGCUAUCAUGUGCAUAAGGAGAGGCAUGGAUGAAAAGCAAAGGAGACCGUUCAUACACAUCACAAGUGCCAAGGAAUUAUGGGAAAGUAUCAUACGAUCCAAGACUGGCACCUCUACCCUCCGAAGUGCUCAAUAUGAAAUUGCCAAGGGGCAAUUGCAAAAAUUUUGAUGGAGAAAGGUGAAACCCCCAAUCAACUCCAUGAGCGCCUCAUGACACUCACUGCCGAUAUUGAGUCAUGUGAGUGUGACAAGACACAAGAUGGAUUCAACAUGACUAAGAGAUUCCUUGUGGAUAAAUUGCUUCAUGCUCUUGCUCCAUAUCACCAUCAAAUGGUGUGGGACAUAAGACAACACCAUACUUUCAAGGAAAUGACUACAGAUGACAUCAUAUCCACCUUUCAACUAUUUGAAGAGUCAAAGGCUAAUGCCACAAAACAUCUUGCCAUGCAUGGUUCCCCAUCAUCAAAGGUCAAUCUUGCAUUGAAAGCCAAGCAUGUAUGUGAAGAUGAGCAAAGUGAAGAAGAAGAAGAAGAUGAUGAUGAUGAAGAUGGUAAUGAGAUUGAAUCCGACGAGGGCCCGUCAUAUGAAGACAUGGCUCUCUUUGUCAAGAAGUUUACCGCGGGAAAAUUCAAGGGAAGAUUCCAAAAGAAGAAAGCAAGAAAAUGCUACAACUGUGAGGAAACCAACCACUUCUCAAAUGAGUGCCCUUAUGAGAAGAGAGAAGAUAGACCAAGGUUUCCCAAGACCUUUCCGAAGAAGAAGUUGCCAAAUCCUUUGAACUCCAAGCUCAAGAAGAGAGAUGGGAAAGAAAUGGUUGCUCAAGAAGAAUCCGAUCCGGAUGAUGUUAGUGGUGUUGCCUGAGUUUCUCAAGAUUCGCAAAACACAUUGAGGCUAGUCAAUAAGAGUGGUGAAGUUGUCACCUACAACUACAUGAAGGAUUACAAGGGCAACGCCCACAAGUGCCUCAUGGCGAAGGCCGUGCUAGAAGAUGGAGAGGAUCAAGACUCUCCUGACAAGGUCAAGGUAACCCCACGAGCAAACCCUCCUCUUCUCACUCCUCCUAUUUCUAGUGAUGACUAUCUUGAUGCGGAGGAUAGUUAUGAGGAUGAUGAUCUAAAUGAUCCUAUGCUUGCUAAACUUAAUAAAUUCAUGUGCUCCCUCAAAGGAAGGAAGCUCACUAUGUUUCGCAUGCUUAUGGAGAUGGUGAGUAAGCACACCAUCACCAUUAAGGAACUCGAAACCCUCGUCACCGAGGAAAAGGAAAAAUGUGAAAUCCUUGAGCGAAAAGUCCAAUAUGAGGAAACACGAAAUGAUGAACUAUGCUUAAAAAUUGGCUCAAAUAUUGAUAUUCAUACUAAAGAUCUUGCCUCCUUGAAAAAGGCUAUUGGCUCUUGUGAAGAGUUGAUGAAUGAUAAAAGUAAGCUUGUGAAGUCUCAUGCUUCUCUCUCUAAGGAUUGUGAGCUUCUAUCCAUGUCCCUCAAGACUAAGGAAGAAGAGCUCACCCUUCUUACAAAGAGUUUUGAGACGCUCAAACUUACUUAUCUUGAAACUCUAGCUAAGGCCUAUUCAUCUCCCAUUAUAAAUGUUGAUGCUUGUUCUACUAACUCUAGUAGUGAUCUAGCAUCUAUUCUUGAGGAAAAUCGUUUUCUCAAGGCUCAAAUUGAGAAGGGGCUCAUGACAUGUGCUCAAGGGAAAAAGAACCUUAAUGAGGUGUUGAGCCAACGCAAUGAAGUGUUCGCCAAAGAGGGACUCGGGUUUGACCCAAGCACAAGCAAGAAGAAGACAUUCUCUCCAAAGUGCACCACUCCUUUGAAAGAAACUUUUGUACGAGAAGGACACAAGGAGAAAGGUAAGGUUGCUAGUGGGAAGGCCACUAGGGGCAUGCCCACUCCCAACAAGCCAAAAGAGUUCAUGCCUCCAUCCUAUGUACUUCGUAAGACUAAGGAUGGAGAAGUUUAUGCAAAGUUCGUUGGUCCUCGAAAUGCAUUUCGGUUUUAUGCUAUUUGGGUCCCUAAGACCCUUGUGACUAACUUGAGAGGUCCCAUUGCAAGAUGGGUGCCUCUAACCAAGUAAUAAUUGUGUGUAGGUUGCCUUCUCCGGUGGAGUAAAAUGGGUAAUUGAUAGUGGAUGUACCAAUCAUAUGACUGGAGAUAGCAAAUUGCUCUACGAUUUCAUGGAAACUAUUCAACCAUUUAUGAGCAUUAUGUUUGGUGGACGAUCAAAAGGACAGGUACUUGGGUUGGGAAGGUGGCUAUCACAAAUGACAUGUCUCUUGCAAAUGUCAUGCUUGUCCAAUCCCUUAAAUAUCAUUUACUUUCUGUUCGUCAAUUGGCAUCUGUUGGUUAUGAUACACUAUUUGGACUAACGGAUGUGAAAGUCUUUAAGAGAGAUACUCUCAAAGUGGCCUUUGUUGGAGAGUUGGAUGGCAACCUUUACACGGUUGAUUUCUCGAAAGAGAGCACAUUCCAUGCAACUUGUCUAAUGGCCAAGGCCGACAAGGGGUGGCUAUGGCAUCACCGGCUAGCCCAUGUCGGCAUGAGAAAUCUUCAAGAUCUCUUAAAGGGAAAUCACAUCCUUGGAUUAACAAAUGUCUCUUUUGAGAAAGAUCGUGUGUGUAGUGCUUGUAUAGCCGGGAAGCAACAUCAAUCAAAGCACCCACCCAAGAAUAUUGUGUCUACUUCAAGGCCUUUGGAGCUCCUUCAUGUGGAUCUUUUUGGGCCUCCUUCAUGGGAUAGUCUUGGUGGGAAAAAGUAUGGACUUGUCAUUGUUGAUGAUUACUCAAGAUAUACAUGGGUGUUUUUCCUCAAAUCCAAGGACGAGACGAAGAUCACUUUCAUUGACUUUGCCAAGCAAGCACAACGCAAGUUUGACAAAGAAAUCUUGGCAAUAAGAAGUGACAAUGGAUCUGAGUUCAAAAACUACACCUUGGAAGAAUUCCUUAGUGAUGAAGGGAUUGAGCAUCAAUAUUCAGCUCCAUACACUCCUCAGCAGAAUGGUGUAGCCGAAAGGAAGAACCGCACACUUGUGGAGAUGGCAAGGUCAAUGUUGGAUGAAUACAUGUCACCACAUAGUUUUUGGGCCGAAGCUGUCAACACCGCAUGCCAUGCAUCAAACCGGCUCUUCCUCCACACUAUAUUGGAAAAGACUCCAUAUGAGCUUCUAACUGGAAAUAAGCCAAAUGUCAAGUACUUUCGUGUAUUUGGGUGCAAAUGCUUCAUCCUCAACAAAAGAGAACGGUUAGGAAAAUUUCAAUCCAAAACAAUUGAGGGCAUAUUUGUUGGCUAUGGAUCAAACUCGCACGCCUAUAGAGUCUACAACAAAUCCAAUGGAUGUGUUGUAGAAACUUGUGACGUGGUGUUUGAUGAAUUUAAUGGCUCCCAUGGGGAGCAAGUUGAUCUAAGUGAUGUAGGUGAAGAAGAUUCUUCUCAAGACAUUUUGACCAUGGGUGUUGGUGCACUUCUUCCUAUGGAACAAGAACCUCAUGAUGAUGAAGAAGAAGAUGGAAGUCUCACACAUCAUCAAACUACUUCAACAUCCAUACCUCCACAAGCUCCUAUUGUUCAACCAAUACCCUUAGCCCAUGUUGAAGAAGAUGAUCCUCAUGACAAUCUUCAAGAGCAAGAAUAAGAAAAUCCAAUCAUUGAUGAUGAACCUCAACAAAUGCAAUAUGAACAAAAAGAUCUUCCUCCACACAUUAAUGAUCCAUAUGUUGAGGAUGUGGAUGAUGGACAUGAAGUUGAACCUCGUGAAACCCUUACCUCUAUCAUGCCACGAGUGGCCGGUCGUGUUGAUGUUGACAAAAUACUCACCGGCAUAUCGGAAGGUAGGGUCACUCGUAAACAUUUGACCAACUUUUGUGCUCACUUUUCUUUUGUGUCUAGUUUUGAGCCCAUCAAGGUACAAGAUGCAUUGAUGGACAAUGAUUGGCUAGUUGCUAUGCAAGAAGAGUUGAACAGCUUUGAACACAACCAAGCAUGGUCACUAGUCAAGAGGCCACAUACCGAGCACAAUGUCAUUGGAACAAAAUGGAUUUUCAAGAACAAACAAGAUGAGAAUGGUGUGAUCAUCUGAAACAAGGCAAGGUUAGUGGCACAAGGGUACUCACAAGUUGAAGGUUUGGACUUUGGUGAGACCUUUGCCCCCGUUGCCCGUCUUGAAUCCAUUCGCAUCUUACUUGCUUAUGCUGCUUUCAAUGGUUUUACAUUACAUCAAAUGGAUGUGAAGAGUGCUUUCCUUAACGGCCCUCUACAAGAAGAAGUAUAUGUAUCACAACCACCUGGGUUCGUUGAUCCCGAUCACAAAGACUAUGUGUAUAAACUUCAUAAGGCUUUGUAUGGCCUCAAACAAGCACCUCGUGCUUGGUAUGAUCAUCUUAAGAAGUUUUUACUCGACGAUGGUUUUGUGAGAGGGGUGAUCGAUCCCACUCUUUUUACUAAGAGGGAUAAGGGUGAUUUGAUCUUAUGCCAAAUCUAUGUAGAUGAUAUCAUUUUUGGUUCUCCUAACAUUCAUUUGUGCAAGAAGUUUGCGGACUCAAUGACCAAGAAUUUUGAAAUGUCACUCAAUGCGGAUUUGAAGUUCUUCCUCGGAUUUCAAAUUCAACAAUUUCAAGAAGGAAUUUUCUUGUCUCAAGGAAAAUACCUCAAGGAUAUCUUAGAGAAGUUUGGGAUGUCUGAUGCUAGUCCAUGUAAGACACCAAUGCCAACCAAAAUAACUCUCACUAAAGACACGAACGGUAUCCCUUUCGACCCAUCUAAAUACCGCUCUAUGAUUGGUUCAUUGCUUUAUCUUUGUGCAUCUAGACCAGACAUCAUGUUUAGUGUAUGCAUGUGUGCUAGAUUUCAAGCUUCCCCUAGGGAAAGUCAUCAUAAGGUGGUUAAGCAUAUUCUUAGAUACCUUGUUCACACCCCAAAGUUGGGUCUAUGGUAUCCCAAGGAUGCUAAGUUUGAUCUCACUGGGUACACGGAUGCGGAUUGGGCCGGAGACAAAGUGGAUCGUAAGUCCACUUCCGGUGCAUGUCAGUUUCUUGGACGCUCCUUGGUAAGUUGGUCAUCGAAGAAACAAAACUGUAUUGCCCUCUCUACCGCAGAAGCUGAAUACAUUGCUGCCGCAAGUUGUGCAACUCAGUUAUUAUGGAUGAGGCAAACUUUAAAGGAUUACGGUAUCACCUAUAGAAAUGUGCCUCUUCUAUGCGAUAAUGAAAGUGCCAUCAACAUUGCUGAAAACCCCAAGGAUCAUCUCCGCACCAAGCACAUUGAUAUUAGGUAUCACUUCUUGAGAGAUCAUGUUGAGAAGGGUGAUAUUCACAUUGAUCACAUUGGUACAGAUUUGCAACUGGCAGAUAUUUUCACCAAACCAUUGGAUGAAGCAAGGUUUUGUCGACUUAGGCAUGAACUUGGUAUCUUGGAGCUUGACAACAUUAUGUGAAAUCUCGUACUCAUGCAUGGAUCUUCAUAAUGUCUUGUCUUGAUGUAGGCAUAUACUUAGGGGGAGACAUUCAAUUUAUGAGUACUCUCUCCCUUACAUAAUGCAUAAAUAGAACCAACACUCUCAAAGUCACUAUGGCACUUACUUUGUGUCCAUAGUACUUUAAAAUGAUGGAGUAAUAACCAAGGGCCCAAAAGUUCAAAUUUUUGGUUUCCAAAGUUAUAUAUACUCAUACAUGGUGACUUAGCCUAAUUAUUCUUUUGGGUGUUUAUAUGGUUGAGAUAUUGUUGUGACUAAGCUACUUAUAUAUAUAUAUAUAUCUCUAUAACAAACACACACAAAAAAUAUAUAUAUAUAUAUAUAUAUAUAUAUCGUCAUCACCCCAUCGCCUCAGAAUCAUAUCUCAGAAAUCUGGCCAGCCGGAUCAUCCGGACUUACAUCCGGACGUCCGGGCUGUGUCUGCCCGGAUAUCCGGGUUCACUUCCGGACAUCUGGCCUUGCCCGGAUCAUCCGGGGCGCCUUCCGGACAUCCGGGUGGGUCUUCGACUUAUCCAAUAGCUAUCGGGCUGAGGGGGAGGGGGGCACAGGGAGUUAUCCUAUUUCAGUUUCCCCUCGCCCUCAUCCGUCUCAUCCCGCCAGCGGCUACUGCUCUGCGGCUCGCCCCGCCAGUCCGGCCGGCCAACUCGGCGGAUCUCGGGAACACGGGCCGCCGCCACCUUGAUCUACUCCCUCCUCCCGCCGUUUUCCCCAGGGGUCGACGGGAUUCUCUCAAAUCUCAGCCUCCGUCCCCAACUCAGCCAUGGUGGUCGGACGUGGUGGCACUGGCCGGAGCUUCAAAUCGACCACCUCGGGCCCCUCUCGUGGUAUCUCGUCUGCGCCCUUCCCUCGUUUUUCCUCUUGUACUCAUCUAGGGUCAGUUACUCAUCGAGCUCGCGAUUUCUUUUUGUUUUGUUGUUGUUCUUUUCGCUCCAAUGCGUAUGCCUAGAACCACGACGCCAAGCAUCAACGGACUCUGAGGAAGCUGCUCGUCCACUCAAGAAAGCACCAGGUCAUGCUCGUCCGUCCUAUGCCGGGCAGGACGAUCCUGAUUAUGAGGACGAUCUCCAGGAGGACGAGCUCGUGCCGGUUCGCUCAACCACCAAGGCCAAGAAGAAGAAAGCGGCUUCUGCCUCCAGCUCGCAGCCUGCCGCACCUACCGGUCUCAUUUUGUCCAUGGCCAACCCCACCAACCGGGGCCGUCGUACGAUCAGCUAUCAGUCCAUGGAUCCCUCUGAGUAUGCAGCUUUAAGGAGUGAAGUCAACCAAUUUGCUGCCCCGGCCAAUGCAACCGACCCUAGGUUUCGCAAUUUGGUUCAACAGGACAUCUAUCAAUCGGUCAUUGCUCAUCUAGGUUUGUCUCCUCAACAUUAUGUGAACUUGGAUUACAUUGCAAACAAUCCAACCAAGUUUGAUGGUGUGUUAGAGAAGAUUGAUGGCAUGGGGCUGCGUUGUGCUAUGACUCUCCACUGUGAUUGGAAUGAGGCUGCCAUUCGGCAAUUCUAUGCCACAUGUUUCUUCCAUCCGGAUCGUUUGAUCACUUGGAUGACUCAUCAUUCUCAGUUCACUGUCUCUUUUGAGGAGUUUGCUGCUGCCUUGGGCAUGCCUGGUUCUGAGGCAGGUCUUUUUCGAAUCCAUGAGGUGAAUCCCAAGUUUGAGGCUAUGCCUAUCAGUGCUUGCAGUUGUCUCACCAUCCCUCCUACUCAGCUAUCCACAGUGCAGCAAAGCAAGGACCUUAAUGACAUCAGUAUCUUCCGUCUGAAAUACUGAUGGCUUUUUCAGUGCAUCCUCAACUCCAUUGCUCCCAAGAAAGGGGAUCGUGGGAUGGUACGAGCUUAUAGCAUUGAUUUGAUGUACCAUUCACGGAAGAAUCCCACUCGUCCCAUUGACAUGGCAGAUUUUCUUUGGCAUGAGAUUCGCAUGGCUAGUUGUCUGAAGGUUCGUACUCUUCCACAUACUCCUUUCAUUCAGACCGUCAUUGAUUCUGUCUUCACUUGCCCCAUCAACAAGAACAACAUUCACUCCAUGUGGACUCCGCAUGAUGACACUUCUAGGGGCAAGGAUCCUGCUCCGUUGUAUGGUGAGAGCUCUUAGGGCUCGUCGUGAGGAGGUUUGCCGCAUCUCCGAGGCAAAUGCUCUUAGGGCUCGUCUUCGUGCGCGUCCUGGCAGUCCUGUUGAGCCUGAUGAGCCUAUUCCUGCUCGACUUCCUCUUCCGGAGGUUGAUUUUCCUUCUGCCACUGAGUUCCCCGAGUUCUUCCUUGUACCUGAGUGAUGGUGGUGAUGAUGAUGAUGCUGAGGAUGAGGAUGAUGUGUGAUUCUCCUACUUUCUCGGUCGUCUUUCCCUUUUUCGGUACUUGCUGUCAAGGGGGAGAUGUAAUUCUUAGGAGUUUCAGUGUGUGUCUGGUAUGCUUAUGCUUAGAGCUUUAGUGGACUCAUUAUUAUUAUUGUAAUGGUACUAUGGUACUUUGGUCAUGAGUUAUGAGUCUAUGUGAAGUGCUUAAUUAUGCUUUUUUUAUUCAUUACUCGUGAUGAUUUUAACGAUGUAUGCCUGUACUAUACUACGAAUGUGGGCAUCCACUUCAUAUGUGCAUGACUUUGUAUGUGUAUCAUUUUAUUCCAUGCAUACAUUAAGGGAGAGCUUAUCUUAAAACACAUUCAUAUACAUAAAUUAAGGGGGAGCUCUUCCUAAAACACAUACCGGUCUACUCUCCUAGAAUUAUUCGUAUCACAUUUUAACUAUAAAAUGCUAUAUGUAGUUUGUCAUCAACUACCAAAAAAGGGGGAGAUUGAAAGUGCAAUCUUGCUCUUAAAAAUUAUUUUUGAUAUUGAUGACAAACUUACAUAUAGGGGACUAACCUUGUUUGCUAAGUAUAUACACAGGCCGUCUGUCCUUUGGGUUUCUUUAGUAAGCAUCAUGAUCACAUCAUAUGAGAUUUUACUCAAGCUAAUUAUCAAUGAGGAAAGGAGCAAACCAAGAUGAAGUAUUGUGCUCUUUUCGUAUUUCUUGAGUAAUAGGAACCCCGCACUAUUAAGAGGGGAUCCGAAGUGUAGGGUCUAGACUUGCUCACUUUUUUGUCUCUUAAACAACUCUACCACAAUAGACUAAAAAACCCUAGCAAUAUCACUUAGCCAAAACAUACCACCAUAUCCUAGCCGGAUCAUCCGGAUGGAUACCCAGAUCAUCCGGGCUUUACUCGGAUCAGCCGGACCCUGCACCGGAUCAUCCGGAUAAUUGGUGCCCUUCUUUACAGAACGGGAUGGCUGAAGUCGGAUCAUCCGGACGUUCCUCCGGAUCAUCCGGGCUGUUGCCCGGAUCGUCCGGAUCCUCCUCCGGAUCGUCCGGAUACCCGUGCCCAUUUUUCACAGAAGCGAUUUGAUUGUAGCCGGAUCGUCCGGCCAGCCAUCCGGAUCAUCCGGGGCAUGUCCGGAUCAUCCGGGCUUGCCUCUGGAUUAUCCGGGCUGCUCGCAACUAGGCUGAAACCACCUGCAUCCGGGCCUUCUGCCAGAUCAUCCGGACAAAGGUCCGGAUCAUCCGGAUGGUGUCCCAGAUCAUCCGGGGUGGUCAACUUAUGUCCAAACAGCUCUAUUCUAGACACUGGUAUAUAUAGCACCUUACCCCUUCGGGAUAAGGUUGAACACUACACACAAACACGCCUCAAGAACACCAGUGCUUUCCCUCUCUUGCUCACACACUAAAUCCCAGAUCCCGGUUUGAUUCUUGAGAGUUUCGAAGAGUUGUUCCAAUCAAAAGAAAGAUCUCCUUCCUCCCCUUCUUGUGACCAAAGCAAAUCGAAGUUUGAGCAAGUCUUGAGUCUUUCCCCUCGGAUCUUGUUACUCUUGGAGGUUGGAGACUCCUAGGCGGUAGGAGUCAUUCGGUGAGGAAUCAACGAUUGUGAUUACCCCCGGAAAGUUUGUGAGGGUUUGGAGACCAC
rnacentral:lncRNA from 1 species